ensembl:lncRNA
AUCUUAUCUAGAGAUCCCUACUUACCUGAGGACCUUGAAGUCUUUCUGAAGGCUGGGCAAAAAGCGGCAUGUGUUGCAGAUGGUGCUGAGCUGCAUAUUUGCUGAGUGGCAUUCGGCAGACCAAACAGAGCAGCUGAGCAUUGAGUGGAUACGGCAGCCUUGUGUCCUAAUUUACAUUUCUGAUCUGCAGAACACGGGAAAUUUCUAGUCUUCUGCCCGUUUGGCUGAUAUGGACUGAUAGGAUUUUCUUUUGUUAUUAUUUUAAGGACUGACAAAUAGGCAGAGAGAUGUCAAAAUCACACAUACCUUGUUUUCUUAUGUUAUGAGAGUGAAAACCAUCUUGAUUGUCUUCCUUUUCAGCUAAGCUCAACCUGAACAUAAAUCCUUACAGACCCUUAAUAAACUCUUGCUUUGAAAAAUAAAAUAGCUGCCAAGACUUAGAUAUAUAGGCUGUAGUCUUAGUUUCACAGAAAAUACUUUGGCAUUUUGGCAUUAAGGCACUGAAGUCUAACUGAUCAUGAGAUGGGUGGGAUGGGGAGCAAAUUUCCAAAAGUAAGAGUUGUCCAGAGGAGCCAUAACUGAUUUAAACCCCAGAGGCACUCCUGCUUUGAGAUGAACUAAAUAGGAAAAUGCUUUUUCCUCUCCUUCUUAUAAGGCAUAUUUGAAACAGCACUGCAAUUAACUUCCUGUAAGUUGUGUUUCUCUUCUGUUGGGUCUGGUGCCCUUUUGCUCUCGUCAGUUCUUCUGAGCAGCCUUAUGUUGGGCUCAUUUAAAUAUUGAUAAUUAAGCUGUUUCUGUAUCCAUCUUCCCCCAAAUGAAAGAAAUACUGCUUCCAACUCAUCUGGCUCAGUUAAGAGAUUCUGGAUGAUGUAUAACGUCUUCUUUAAGAGAUAAAACACUAAAGUAAUAGUUAUAAAUAGAUGUGUAAAAUCAUACUGGUGAAUCUCAGAAGCACCACGCUCAAGGAGAGCAAUGCAAUUGACAAGCAAUUUAAGCUACAGUGUGAAAGGAUGCAGAAAUAACAAGAUUUGCAUGAAAAAUAUUGAGAUCAUGAGAACAUCAAAUUUAAACGGAAAACUCAUGUGCCUCAUGAUUAAAUCAUGAGAGCUGACAUUACUGUUAUAACAUUCAAUAUCCUUGGCUUUUGAAAAUAGUUUUAUAAUGAGGGUGGAGUGUAUCCAUCUGUAUAGAACACGAGCAUUGUUUGUAUCUAGCUAGCUCAUUAUGAUGAGAAUCAGGAAUACAGGACUCUCAAAUCUUAAUACAGGUCAGAAGAACUCAGAUACCUCCAGCUAUGGCUGAGCCCCUCUUGUCAGGAAGAUUACCCAAAGCAAAGACAGAGACUGACCCCGCUUUUGAAUCAUACAGUCAACCAGUCAAUCAAUCAGUGAUUAAACAGUACCAAGAAGUUGGGGGGGGGGAGCAGAAAGAAUUUCAAUCAGGUAGCUGAUUGUCUAUUUAUUCCAUCUUAUCACUGACAGUCAUUUAUCUUAGGACAGAAUACAGCUACUCACAUCAGUCAUAGAGGCAGUAAGUCUAAAGAAGGGUCAUUGCAAAGAGAGUAUUUCACAUCCAUCAGGCUCUACACUUGCAUGACCUACAACUACCAUGGCAGACUUCUUUCUCUUUCUUUUGGUGUUGUGCUUACUGAUAUACUGUGUGGUCAGGAAAACCUGAUAUAUUUGUUACUUAUGUGGAAAUAUGGACUUUUAAAAUCAGUUUAUACUUUUGUGAUGUACUGUCAUGGAGUAAAUAUGGAUUUUAUUUCCAUGAGCUUCAUGUUUAAUUCUAAGAAUGAGAAGCUAGUUGUAAAUGGACGUGCUUCAAGUCUAUUCAUAUUUUCUGAAUUCUUCCCAGCAGUUGAAGAAUUCAGAAAAUGAAAAAAAGAAAAGAAAUAAGUUAUCUUUGGAAGUGAUUUACAAUUUUUUCUCUCUGUUUUAGUGCUAUUCACUGAACUGUCUUUAAUACUUAGCUUUGAAUAUUUUAACUAAAUCUGUAAGAUGUGUGUUUUCUGUUUGUUUUUAAAAUACCUAUCAUCUUCAUGAUAAGAAGCAGCAGCAUUUAUAUAGAGCAUUAUUUAGAAAAAAAAACCAAAAACACACAAACAGAAUAAAGGGGAAGAUAAAAAUAACUAGAAUCUACUGUCUGGAAGUUGCUAGGAUUGGAUGCUUUAUAGCUGUCUCCUGAAUAAGAAAUAUACCUCUGGGAAAUAUUCAGACUGUUCCCCUAAAUAAGAAACUAAUUUUUUUUUUUAAUCCCCAUACAGCUUAUGAUUUCAUGGUCAUGUCAGACGAACUUAUUUCUGAUUAAAAGCAGCUGAGUCAAAUAGGACACUCCUUGCUGUGCCAUAAUCCCCAGCAGCUAUGUCACUUUUGCCAUAUCACAUUUCUUCAUAAAAUAUCUCAUAGCUGACACUGUUACAGGAAUGCUUUUGCCUUGAAAAACUGGAAAAAAAUAUAAUUAAGUAUUCCAAAGGCUGCAGAAUUUGUAACGAUUUAUUGCAGAUAUUGUGAUGUCUUCACACUGUAAAGCAAAAAUUUCAUUCUUUUUGUGAGUAUAGCAAAAAAAAAAAAACAACCAAACAAACAGGAAUCUCUUCUUGAAAACAUCUUAUUUUUUAUAGUAUACUGUUUUUAUGUUUUUGAAUUUAUAUCUUGAAACUAAACAUCUCUUUUGCUUUUGAUGUCAGUGGGCCUCUUGUGUGUUUAAUACAGGCUUAAAUUAUUGUGACAACCAUGUAUCCAUUAUUAAAAGAAUUAUACUAAUGAAACUGCAGCGCAAUAAUAUUGAAAUAAAACCUGUAGAAGGAAAACUUGAUAUUGAAGGGCAGUUUACACUGUUUACUGUGACUUCACAAUUAGCAGUAGGAAUAAUAUAAUUUUACAUAGAAGAGGAAUCUCUUAUGCAAACACUGCAUCUUGUUGGUCCUGUCCAUGUUACAAAAUAU